UUGUGCCAUAUUGUUCUCAGUGUGAAAAACAACAGAAUCAGAAUCAGAAUCAAGUGCAGAUGCAACAGAUGCAGUGGAUGCAGUAUGCACAGAGUACUCAGUAGUGGGAUGCACAAUAUCUAAUGGAAUAGACUCAAAAAUAGAGUCUAAAGACAAAUUCCUAGAAUGCCUAACUAACCUAUGAAACGUCCUAUCAAUCUCAGGAUCAAAAGGUGGUAUGAAUCCAGGAUUUCCUCUAGUCAUGCACUAAAUCACAACACCCUAUAAUCAUGAAACAAUAGCACAAAAAUUCAAAACACAGAAAACAACACAAGACACAAUAGAGACUAUCACAACACGUCAAAAUACAGUCACAAGACACACAAACACAGACAAAAGACUCAAUACUGAAUCGUUGGUCCCCGGCAACGGCGCCAAAAUUUAAUGGGUGUCGCAACCCAUACAAAUUUGAUUGCAUAUUAGAUAUGUAGUAUAGCUAGGGAAUGACCCCUAGGUCGUCUCCCAAAGACCAAUUUUGGGGUUCAAGAAUCGAGUCUAACACGAAAGAGGGGGGUUUAUAAAAAGGGUUUUGCAAAAAGUAAAGAAGUCAAUAAAGACAUAGAUGCAAACAAACUAAUUUAAGCUAGCAUGGUAAUUAAACUAACACUAUUAAAAACCUUAGACAACAUUCAAACAUCAAAUACUCUUGCAAAUAAAUUAACAAACACAGUUAAAAAUAAUUAAAUGCAAGAAUAACUCAAACACAUUAAACUCAACCCAGUAACUAAAUUAACUAAAAACCAAGGAAACCAACAAGCCUAAUUUAAUCCUAGCAAAUUAAUUUGACUAAAUGACAAUUAACAAUUAAUUUUAAAAGUCCAAAUGGCCAAGAAAAGGCACAUGGCCGUGACCCACACCCCACCAAGUCAAACUUCAAAAUUNUAUCUUCACUUAACCACCAAAUGUGUUGUCUUUUGUCUCAUUUGCACCAAUUCUCAAAACAAAUUAAAAUAUGCUUAAACAUCCAAUUGAAAACCAUGCCUUAACCUUCU
rnacentral:lncRNA from 1 species